rnacentral:tRNA from 1 species
CUGCCCGUAGCGUAACUGGAUAACGCAUAAGAUUCCGAUUCUUAAGAGUAUAGGUUCAAACCCUGUCGGGCAGACCA